CCUACGGGCGGCAGCAGUGGGGAAUAUUGGACAAUGGGGGGAACCCUGAUCCAGCCAUGCCGCGUGUGUGAAGAAGGCCCUCGGGUUAUAAAGCACUUUCAGUGAGGAAGAACGCCUGGUGGUUAAUACCCAUCAGGAAAGACAUCACUCACAGAAGAAGCACCGGCUAACUCCGUGCCAGCAGCCGCGGUAAUACGGAGGGUGCGAGCGUUAAUCGGAAUUACUGGGCGUAAAGCGCGCGUAGGUGGCUUGAUAAGCCGGUUGUGAAAGCCCCGGGCUCAACCUGGGAACGGCAUCCGGAACUGUCAAGCUAGAGUGCAGGAGAGGAAGGUAGAAUUCCCGGUGUAGCGGUGAAAUGCGUAGAGAUCGGGAGGAAUACCAGUGGCGAAGGCGGCCUUCUGGACUGACACUGACACUGAGGUGCGAAAGCGUGGGUAGCAAACAGGAUUAGAUACCCCAGUAGUC
rnacentral:rRNA from 1 species